AAAAAGAACCGCAAAGGAAACAAUGAAGCAGUGAAGCCACCAAAUGAUGUGACUUAUUCCCAAAUUAAGAUGAAAAACCUGGGAGAUCACCACAGAGAUGGUCUUUGAAGAAAACCGCUGCUGCUGUUGCAGGACAGAAAAGUAACCAUAUUACAGAAACUCCUGGUUGGGGUUUUAAGGAGUGCUGACGGAAGAGGAUCUGAACACAUUUAGACUGUCAGAAUUAU